rnacentral:rRNA from 1 species
GACAGAGGAUGCAAGCGUUAUCCGGAAUGAUUGGGCGUAAAGCGUCUGUAGGUGGCUUUUUAAGUCCGCCGUCAAAUCCCAGGGCUCAACCCUGGACAGGCGGUGGAAACUACCAAGCUGGAGUACGGUAGGGGGCAGAGGGAAUUUCCGGUGGAGCGGUGAAAUGCGUAGAGAUCGGAAAGAACACCAACGGCGAAAGCACUCCGCUGGGCUGAUACUGACACUGACAGACGAAAGCUAGGGUAGCGAAAGGG